GAGAGAAAUAGGCAGCUCGGUGGCACUCAGCCCAGGUGGUCUCCUGCCCCAUGGCGGGAAGCUGGCAAGCGGAAGGAGGCAAUCGCCCGGUGCUGGGAUGCUGUGGAGCAAGGAGAAGGCAAGUACAAAGUUUACUUGCUGGUGGGAUCGAUACUAGAAGGCAACUGAUAUUCAGCUCUGAAGCUGGUUGAUGUCUGGCAAUGGACCUGGCUAAGCAGCAGCUGGUGGAUGGUUGUCAGAAGAGUUUGCAUUCAGGCCAUUGGAUGCCACGAGGCUACGCUGGCUGAGAUGGAUGCAAACUGGUUUGAAAGCCUUGUUUGUGAACAGGCAGCCAAACAGAGGAGGAGUCUGGGGGGACGCUGUCGGAUGGGGGCCAUCCCACCCACCUGUUUGCCUUUGCCUUACAGGGAUGUCUGGAGCCGGUGAGGUUUUCCCCAAGUCCAGCCUUCAAAGUCAUGGAGAGAACCGCAGGACGUCCCUAUUUACAUCGGAGAAGUGAAUGUGAAAUCCUGGCAAUGAGCAAUGGACAAGGCUGUGGCCAUACCUGAGAGAAGAAGCUUUGAAGGGAGACUGCAGGCGGACAUCUGCUGCAUUGCAAGUGAUGGGGCAGUGGGGAGAGAGAAGAAAAUGAGGGAGCAAACAUUAGGCCACAUUAGGCGCACUGUCCAUUGAAAGUGCUAUGAAGACGCUUUAAACAGGAAUGGCUUUCCCUCAAGGAUUCUGGGAACUGUAGGUUGUUAAGGGGACGGAGGGUUGUUAGGGUGGUUUAGGAUUAGGAUUAGAGUUAGGAUUAGAGUUAGAGUUAGGGUGAGGGUAGGGGUAGGGUUCCCUUCUUGCCAGGGAACUCUGGGAAUUGUAGCUCUAGUUAAGGGUUAAGGGUUAGCAUUGGGGUUAGAGUUAGGGUUAGCGUCAGGGGUAGGGGUAGGGUUCCCUUCUUGUUAGGGAACUCUGGGAAUUGUAGCUCUAGUUAGGGGGCAGGGUUAGGGUUAGGGUUCCCUUCUUGCCAGGGAACUCUGGGAAUUGUAGCUCUAGUUAAGGGUUCCCUUCUUGCCAGGAAACAGGGGGUCUCCUAACAACUCUCAGCACCCUUUUCAAACUAUAGCUCCCAGAUUCUUUGGCGGAAGAAGCCAUGAGUGUUUAAAGCGGCUUCAUAGCGCUUUAAAUGGUGUGGAUGUGGCCCUGGCCUCCCUCACCUCACUGCCUCUUAUUAUUGUGGAAUAGAAAGGAUUUCCCCAUUCAAAUCUCUCAGAAACAGGAAACAGGAAGAAGCCAGACUUUUGUAUCUCAUGCCAUUUUGAAAUGUCUUAACAUGAAAUGCCAAAAAAGGUAUUUGUAUUGUAUUGUAUUGUAUUCUGAUUAAUGUGGGAAGUGGAAUGGUAAAAUGUUAAUGAGGCGGACUCGAUACUUCUGUAAACUAGUAUGCCCUUUCUUGUGGGCGUGGCAGGAGGGACUUGCGACAGGACAAGCGACUUUAUGUGUUUUUCCUGAGGAAGGUGUGCCUGAUCUUGGGUUACCCCACUUGCAAGCGUGUAUAAUAAAAAUGUUUCCUAAUUUA
rnacentral:lncRNA from 1 species